rnacentral:rRNA from 1 species
AGCGAACAGACGAGGAGCUUGCUCCUCUGACGUUAGCGGCGGACGGGUGAGUAACACGUGGAUAACCUACCUAUAAGACUGGGAUAACUUCGGGAAACCGGAGCUAAUACCGGAUAAUAUAUUGAACCGCAUGGUUCAAUAGUGAAAGACGGUUUUGCUGUCACUUAUAGAUGGAUCCGCGCCGCAUUAGCUAGUUGGUAAGGUAACGGCUUACCAAGGCAACGAUGCGUAGCCGACCUGAGAGGGUGAUCGGCCACACUGGAACUGAGACACGGUCCAGACUCCUACGGGAGGCAGCAGUAGGGAAUCUUCCGCAAUGGGCGAAAGCCUGACGGAGCAACGCCGCGUGAAUGAUGAAGGUCUUCGGAUCGUAAAACUCUGUUAUUAGGGAAGAACAAAUGUGUAAGUAACUAUGCACGUCUUGACGGUACCUAAUC